UGUUUAUUGCUGGCAGAUGGGCUACAAUUGAUAAGAUUAACAUCAGUCAUUGGUUGAAAUUCAAUCCGUCUCUUCACUUUUAAGUAGAACAUAAAAUGUUAGGGUAGAUUUCAUUCAACUUAAAUUUCAAUUAUCACGGUAAACAAAUUCAUGAAAAUAUGGCGACACUAUUUUAUGCCAGUGCUAGUUUUAUUCUUGUGGGACUAACACUCAAGAUAACUACAGCAGAAAACAUUGCCUUUCAUGCACAUACAACAUUCAGUGGCAGUUAUCCCGAAGGAAAGGUUGUCAAAUUUCCGAACGUUCUACUUAAUGACGGAAAUGGAUACAAGCCAGGCUCUGGCAUUUUUACUGCACCCGUGUCCGGCGUCUACCAGUUCACAGCACAUGCUUGCAAUUCAGCAGGAAAAGACAUGGUUAUUGCCAUCAUGAAAGGAACACAACAAAUUGCAGUCAGCACGGGCUUCGGAGAUCGCUCCAUCUGUAAUUCUGUCACCGCUAUUGCAAAAGUUCGAAAGUAUGAAUAUGUAUAUAUUGUGUCUGCCUGGCACGAUAGUCACAUGUUCUCGAAUGACCACCGUUGGCCGUCGUUUAUGGGGUUUCUUUUAUAUAAAAUAUAGAUCAACUUGUUCGACACAGGCAGUUUGGACUUGACGCAGCAAGGUUUUUUACAUAUACAUACAUUGAUAAUCUUUUAAGAAAAAUCUGGUAAAUAAUGAUAAUGAAACAGAUACUUUACCAAGAAAACAUGUAAUAGUCGCUUUUAUUUCUCAUUUCUGAAGGAUAUUAUGUUGCAAAGUCUUAUUUAUCAUUUUUCAGAGGUCAAGUUUGGUAGCUGUCGAUUUUCAAACGAUAUAUCCCGAUUAUUGGCUUUGUGUUUUACACUGUAGCAAGUAGAUUGUCUUUGUAUAUUCAAAUAAAUAUCGUGCGAGCAUGACUAGUUCUGUAAAAGAUUAAGUGUACACAUUUCCUUUGACUAGAUGACAGCCCGACCAUGUUUUAAAGUCAGUAACGAGUUUUCGUACCAGCCAGAUAAUCUGGAUUAUUGUCUUUUGACGUCGGCAGAUUGUGUCAUUUGCUCACAAAUAGAGACAAAUCAUUUCAAAAAGACAUGGACAUUCUUCAUUAUGCAUUGAAUGGGAAAUGAGACGUCAAAUUUCUCUUAUUUCUUCAGUUUAUUAUCUUUCAAGAAGAAUAUUAUACGCAAGACACCUAUAUCCGGGAUAUUGAUUACAUGUAUUUAACCAGUAUCAAUGUUUCCCCUAGUUCAGAUGAGUUAUUAAGCUAUCUUAAAUACAAUUAUGAAGGUCUUUUGUACUUGAUAUAGUUUCCAAACUGUACUUGAUUAAAAUAAGUUUCUGAAACAACAUAAAACAUAAGAUACCCGUAACUUCCACACCACUCAUUUAAUCAGAUUUAGCAAAAUCCCUUCUUAAAAUUGACACUCACUCAGUUCACCAAAAUGAGUGGUAUUCAAACAAUUCUGUGUUAGUCAAAUUUCCUGUAAUUUAGGAUCAUGUAGAACAUUGCUUGUUUUCUGUAAUAGAAUUCCAGCUGGUGCAAAGGAGCUGAAAGGUGUUGCACAAUUCAUUGCCUCUCAUGAACCGACUCAAAUAAACCGAGCCAUGUAUUAUGUUGCCUCGUUGCUUCACAGUGUUGAAAGCUUCGAAAGGAUCUUUUCGCAAGUUUCAUUUUAUGUACAGUUUUGGAGAAGUAGUAACAAAAAUAAAUAAGAGUUAGAUAUUCUUGAACUGCCAAAAUGCACGUAACAUGAGUUUAUACAAGAAAUGUCUCGAAAAUAAGAUUUAACGCAACAAUUAAUUUAAUUUCCAACGAAUACUUAUACUUUAAAAGAUUUUGUUUGCCUACGUUUCAAGACGUUUUAAAGUCAAUUUGACCAAGAGAUCAGGAAAACACUACCAAAUAGCCAGUGUUAAAAUGAAUUCUAAGGUCUGCUCUUAUUCAGUUUUAAAAUCCACUGUUUGAUACAAUGUAACGUAUUUACAACAUUAAUUUUCUUCAUUAUAAUAAGAACUUUAAUGGCUGCUAUAACCUUCAAAUCCAUAUCGUUUAAAUGAAAAGAGUAAAAACAUAAACAGCUUUGGAAAACAGAAUAAUUAUAUUCUCUCAUUGUUCUGCAUAUAAAGCAAUGUUUUUAAAAAGUCUAGUGUACUAGCUAGUCUCAUUACAUGUCUCGUUACGAAAUGAUUACAUGAGUACAACUCUGUGUAUCAAGUUUUACACUUUAUGUCUGGUGGGUUACUAUCAACAAAGGCUUACUUUAUCACUUUUAAAAAUGCUUUAUCAUCAUUUCUUUCUUUUUAACCAAAUCACUGUCAAUUUUUGGGAAAAUAGCAUAUCUAAUAUUACUUAAAAUGAUUUAAAAAUGUAUAAAAUAAGUUCUAUUUUCUCAACAAACAAACGUUGGAGGCCUGUAAAAUCAUGCGUAGUGUUAAUGUGAAACAGCAAUUGUCGUACCUGAUGAGACUAUCGAUAUCCUCGACAUUAUAUGUUUAGUUGGGCUGCGUCUUUCUGAUUACUAUCUAUCUUCAGCGUAGUAAAUUAAAACAAUCCAACACAUUGUCACUAAAUUGUUUAUUGUACAAUAGAGAAAAUCAUCAAGGCAUAUAGGUCAUACUGAAAACUUUGAAAGAGAAAUACGUAUCAUUUGCUUUCAAUACAUUUGUUUCCAUUUGACAGCUUCCGUAGUCUUUGAAGUUAGCAUUUACUGUAAUUAAAAUGUGUAAGUUGUUUCUGUAUUGUUUAGUUUUAUGUAUCCUUUAGUAGGUCAAAUUAUUUUAUUAUAGGCAGUAGAUCACAAAACAAUCAAAGAUGCUGUAUAUCUAGUUAAGUCUGUAUCUGCCAAUCUUUUCGACAAUGAGUUUUAUCUUUGUGUAUAAUGUUUUCGUAUUGAUAAUUUCUAAAGAUGGAAGAUACUUAUAUCAUUUUUUUCAAAUACAAACUUUUAAAAAUGAAAUUAAACAAUGUCAUAUUAAAAUAACCAGUCAUACACCUACGUUUAAAAUACAUUUGUGAGGGGAAUUGUUAAAACAGGAUUUAAAAGAUAUGAACCAUCAAAAUGGUGAUCAAACAAACGUUAAUCGAAGUUUAAAUACUUUUGAUAACAAUUGUAAAAAUUAAAUAAAGACAUUUAUAUCUUCUUCUUGCAGGGAGUAGUUGACAAGCGGACAUACAGAUAUUUACCACUUUCCAUAUUUGAUGGCUUUACUCAAUUCUGUGUUUAUGCACUAUAUGAAUAAAUCUCACUUUGUGAUAAAUAUAAAAGAUAUUUAUUCGAAUAUAAUUUAGAAUUUAUGGUACAAUAUACUGAAUAUAUGUUAAUACGAAUACGACCAUAUGCUAAAAAUACACUAUGAAGGUUUGUGAAAUAAGUCAUACAAAGUUCUGCUUUGUCAUUAUUUAUUGAUUAUUAAAGAUAUCGAUGUAUCAUAUCUUCUUAUCAUCGUAGCAUCAGCAAUAACUUACAUACAUGUUUAUGUCAAAAUUUGUUACUUUAAAGAUUUGAUACAGUUACUGUAACGGUCUUAUAUAUUCUAGUCCGUUGGGUAAACAAAAACAUACACUUGGUCGAAAACUGGUAAAAAAAUGUAAAAAAAGACCGUUACUCACUGAAAAAUUAAUGAAGCCAUAUUUUGGAAGAUAUAUACAUAGUUACGUUUUGCCUUGUAUCAGUCUUUUCAAUUUUAUAUUCUAUUAUUCCUGAUACAUACACACGUAUUUUCAUUCAAUAUAAUAACGCCCUAACGGCUAUUUCUUUUAAAGCUGUUACCGAUUUUCAUGAAAAUCAUAACAUUUAGCUUCCAACUUGCUGUUGUAUACUCUUCGUGUUUGUGUCAUCUUUUAUGUAAUAAGGAUUUAGUAUAUACGCAAUUUUAUGUUAAUGUAUAAACUGGAAAGUUUAAUCUAUAUUUUUUUAUUCGUCUCGGCAUUUUAUAAAUGUAAUAUUUAGUCCUUAAUAAAACUUUUGA